rnacentral:rRNA from 1 species
AGUGAACGCUGGCGGUAGGCCUAACACAUGCAAGUCGAACGGCAGCACAGUAAGAGCUUGCUCUUACGGGUGGCGAGUGGCGGACGGGUGAGGAAUACAUCGGAAUCUACUUUUUCGUGGGGGAUAACGUAGGGAAACUUACGCUAAUACCGCAUACGACCUACGGGUGAAAGCAGGGGAUCUUCGGACCUUGCGCGAUUGAAUGAGCCGCUGUCGGAUUAGCUAGUUGGCGGGGUAAAGGCCCACCAAGGCGACGAUCCGUAGCUGGUCUAAGAGGAUGAUCAGCCACACUGGAACUGAGACACGGUCCAGACUCCUACGGGAGGCAGCAGUGGGGAAUAUUGGACAAUGGGCGCAAGCCUGAUCCAGCCAUACCGCGUGGGUGAAGAAGGCCUUCGGGUUGUAAAGCCCUUUUGUUGGGAAAGAAAAGCAGCAGGUUAAUACCCCGCUGUUCUGACGGUACCCAAAGAAUAAGCACCGGCUAACUUCGUG